GUCCAGAGAAGUGACUCAGCUAAAUGUUUCCACAGUGGAUCUGUGGCUGAAUGAGCACAUUUCUACAGGAACCAAUGUGACUGUGAUGAGUCAGCAUUAACUGAAGAUUUGUGCUGAAACAGUGAAUGUGAUCAGCUGCAUUCACCUCUGUUUGUAGAGACUCUGCUGUGUUGUUGAGGAAAACCUGAUGGACUCGGCUGAAUCCCGCCUCUCCCUGCAGGUGUGUCAGACACCAACAGUGUUGGACAGAAGCUCUGCUGUGCUGUUGAGAAAGGCUGGAUGAGCUCAGUCUGAUGCUCCUCUGAAGAAACUCCGAGUUUGCUAAGCUGCAGCUUUAAGUUUCACUUCUGGACUCUGAAGCUGAAGCUCUCGUCUUUCAAGUGUUGCUCCACCUCUACAAGCAGAUGAGAGAUGGUGGCUAAGCAGUGUGUUUUUACUGUGACUGUUUACCAGUAAACAUACUAUCACGGUCCUUCAACCCUCGGUCUUGGACUCAGGGCUUUGAUUUUAGUCUUUCUCUAGUUUUAUAUCUUUUAAUUAUGGUUCUGUAUUCUAGUUUGUUUCUUUAUGUUUGUAUGUAUUCACUCAGGUUGUCUUUGUCCUUUCUUGAUUUCUCCUUCAUGGUUGUGUUUUCCCAGAAAAGCUGUAAUGUUGGGCUAUUUUUUCCUGACCUUGAUUAUAUUGUAUUUUGGCAAGAGCUCAACAUGUUGCAAUACCAAACAAAUGAACCCUGAACAGUAUACCCUUCUCCACUAAGCUGUGCAAUAAAUCAAGCACACAUGCACAGAGACACACACAGAUACAGACCACAGCAGGUUGUCUCUUCAACAUGGAGACGACUGCAAAUCUGGGCUGAACUACAUUAUUUUUUUUGGAAAACAGUGAAAUUCCAGGAAACAUCCCUCAGCGUGGAGCGCUGAAACUGAUUUCCAGGUCACAAUCAGGAGGAUGGACAAAACAAAGAGGGAUUGUGGCAGCAAGAGAGAGAAGGAGGGUGGGGGAAACCAAUAAUGACACACACAAGGAUGAUGGUUUGGUGACUGAGAGCUCAAAAGCUGUAUGAUUACAGAAAAAAAAACUUAAAGAUAACAACCCCACACUGGGAAUUUCACCCAGGGAAUAUCUAGUUUAAAACCAAACCAAUUACCAAACAAUCACUUAGAUCCGUUAUACCUCAGACAGAGAUGUGGUUCAAGUCAUUAACAAAUUAGUUUAUUGGCAACUAUCCCAAAAAAAAAAAAAAUCAAUAAACAGAAGAGCCGUCAAACCCAUCGUACAUUUACUGUUAAUCAACUCAGAGCUGCUGCAGUGGAUUCCUAAGAAAACAGUCUGCUUUGAUGAGUUUGACCCACAUCAGUACAGGAAGGAGGAGCCUGAGAUUUACUGAGAUCAGCAGCAGACUUUGAGACUGUGAGAGUGAAUAAAUGUGUGAAAAUGACUCGGCUCUGUGUUUUACAGCAUCAUGGACCACAACUUCUAACUGUGAAUGAUGCAAAGAAUGACAUCAGUUCAGGACUGAUCUGCUCACUCAGGAGUGUGGAUGCUCUCUGUCACCAUCAGCUGCAAAGCCAACAAACUGUGUGCGUCAUUUCUUCAGAGACUCCUUCAUAACUGCAGGAUGUCUCAGACAGCAGCCUCGGUGCAGAGCUGCAGCCCAACAAGAAGAAAGAAGAAGCUGCACAGCUGAUCUUUGUACGAACUCUGAUGUCUUUAAGAUUCAGCAGGAAUAUGAAAUAUGGUCCUUUGUGUCAAAUCUAUCCAGUAAGACAUUUAUGAAUACAUUUGAUCUGCAGUCACAAACUAGUGACUGCUGUGUGUUCAUCUGUGUGUGUUUGUCUCCAUCUAGUGCUCCGAGUCUUUGAAUGAAGCUUUCAAAUGAAGUUUGAUGUUCAGAGUUCAGCUGUGGCUUUAACUCACUCUGAAGGUUCAAACAUGUCAGCAGGUUAUGGCAUCAAAUGGAAAACACAGUGUUAAUGAACAUUUCCAUCAUCUGUGUCCCUCCUCAGUUCCUCAGUUAGUUUCUUCUUUCCUUGGAUGAAGGAAGCUCCAGUGUGUCCUCUGAUAAAGGCAGGAAUAAAGGAAGCACUGAAGCAGCUUUCCUCAGUAUUCACAGGAUCUGAGCAGCCAUGUGUCCGUCUGAAUUUUUCUGCUUAACACUGUAUCUACCCAACAGCUCCUUAUCACCUGUUUCCUUCACUUAUGUGUCCACUGAAGUCUGCUGCAAUCACCACUCUAUCACUUCAUCCAAAUUAUUCCUCUUUGUCUUCAUCCAGCCUGUGGAGCGUACACACUGACAACAUUUAACACAAGCCCUUCAGUUUCUAGCUUCAAACCCAUGAUUUUUUGUCUGUAUAAUAACAAUAAUUUUUUUUUUUUUUUUUUUUUUUUAAUUUAUGAGCAGAAACAACUGUGUGAAACUGAGUGUUUAGAGCAGUCUGAGCUUUUGGCUCACAGGGAUUACUUUUACAUACACUGAGCUCAUUCUUUGAACCUUUGG